AUGGACUACGAAGGAGACUUUACAAUUAAUAACAAAUCUCAUGACAGACAGGCGUAUAUUCAAAUUGGACCUCAUUGGAAAUGGGCUGGACUCCGGCCUAAUGGGUGUUCCUGAUGCUCGACAAAGAAGCCACAACUACGGUAUCUGGAAAGAAUCUCUGGACUGAAAGGUCAACAGAACAUAACAAUUAUUCAUAGACAGCCAAAAAUUGUGUCAGUCAUCAAGCUUCUGGAUAUGAAAUUAAUUAACAUAUAGUGUGAAUUUUAUUUUUUAAAUGUUCUUGUAGGCUGUAUGUUUAUUAAUAUUGUAUUAUUACUGCUAAUGUUUAUCUUUUUAAUUAAGUAACCCGUUUGUUGUAAAGAAUAUAGACAUGUAAGAUAAUAAUAUAUAACAUUUUGAGGAUUAAAAUCAGGUCUAUUGAUUUUUGCCGGAUGUACAUGACAUAGACAUACAUUAUAUAAAUAUAAAAUGUAUACAUAUAUCCCAACUUGAUUUCAAUGCUUGAAAAUAAAUAUCAAAUGGAAUUGUG